rnacentral:rRNA from 1 species
GAUGAACGCUGGCGGCGUGCCUAAUACAUGCAAGUCGAGCGAACAGACGAGGAGCUUGCUCCUCUGACGUUAGCGGCGGACGGGUGAGUAACACGUGGAUAACCUACCUAUAAGACUGGGAUAACUUCGGGAAACCGGAGCUAAUACCGGAUAAUAUAUUGAACCGCAUGGUUCAAUAGUGAAAGACGGUUUUGCUGUCACUUAUAGAUGGAUCCGCGCCGCAUUAGCUAGUUGGUAAGGUAACGGCUUACCAAGGCAACGAUGCGUAGCCGACCUGAGAGGGUGAGCGGCCACACAGUGACUGAGACACGGGCCAGACUCCUACGGGAGGCAGCGGUAGGGAAUCUUCCGCAAUGGGCGAAAGCCUGACGGAGCAACGCCGCGUGAGUGAUGAAGGUCUUCGGAUCGUAAAACUCUGUUAUUAGGGAAGAACAAAUGUGUAAAUAACUAUGCACGUCUUGACGGGACCUAAUCAGAAAGCCACGGCUAACUACGUG